AGAGUUUGAUCCUGGCUCAGAUUGAACGCUGGCGGCAGGCCUAACACAUGCAAGUCGAGCGGUAACAUUUCUAGCUUGCUAGAAGAUGACAAGCGGCGGACGGGUGAGUAAUGCUUGGGAAUAUGCCUUAGGGUGGGGGACAACAGUUGGAAACGACUGCUAAUACCGCAUAACGUCUACGGACCAAAGGGGGCUUCGGCUUUCGCCCUUAGAUUAGCCCAAGUGGGAUUAGCUAGUUGGUGAGGUAAUGGCUCACCAAGGCGACGAUCCCUAGCUGGUUUGAGAGGAUGAUCAGCCACACUGGAACUGAGACACGGUCCAGACCCCUACGGGAGGCAGCAGUGGGGAAUAUUGCACAAUGGGCGCAAGCCUGAUGCAGCCAUGCCGCGUGUGUGAAGAAGGCCUUAGGGUUGUAAAGCACUUUCAGUAAGGAGGAAAGGUUAGUAGUUAAUACCUGCUAGCUGUGACGUUACUUACAGAAGAAGCACCGGCUAACUCCGUGCCAGCAGCCGCGGUAAUACGGAGGGUGCGAGCGUUAAUCGGAAUUACUGGGCGUAAAGCGUACGCAGGCGGUUUGUUAAGCGAGAUGUGAAAGCCCCGGGCUCAACCUGGGAACUGCAUUUCGAACUGGCAAACUAGAGUAUGAUAGAGGGUGGUAGAAUUUCAGGUGUAGCGGUGAAAUGCGUAGAGAUCUGAAGGAAUACCGAUGGCGAAGGCAGCCACCUGGGUCAAUACUGACGCUCAUGUACGAAAGCGUGGGGAGC
rnacentral:rRNA from 1 species